rnacentral:rRNA from 1 species
UGGGCAACCUGCCCCUAGCUCUAGGAUAACUCCGGGAAACCGGGGCUAAUACCGGAUACGACCUCCUGCGGCAUCUCGGGAGAUGGAAAGAAUUUCGGCUAGGGAUGGACCCGCGGCCUAUCAGCUUGUUGGCGGGGUAACGGCCCACCAAGGCGACGACGGGGUAGCCGGCCUGAGAGGGCGACCGGCCACACUGGGACUGAGACACGGCCCAGACUCCUACGGGAGGCA